GCUUCUAGGAAUCUGAUUCGCCGCCACCUCCAUUGCCCGUCGUUACUUGCUGCCGCCUAUCGUCGCCUCAUUGCUGCUUGCCACCACCCAUCGUCACCUUGUUGCCGCCAUCGUCGCCUUGUCGCCCCCCAUCUCUAGUGGCCGAGGUUGUCCGACAACUCAAUCGUCAUGGUGUCGCUUGUCUUGCACGGUGGUGCUCGUCUUGCACUUUUGCAAAUAAAUCUCUCCAGUCAGCCGUCACCACCAGCGGUAGGGUUCGGGUCGGCGAGGAUGGAGGAGGGUUGCUUGUGCUAGUCUACACCAGAUUGAGACGAUCGCCAACCCCAAGGGGCUCUGUGUCGUGUUGCAAACAGAAACACACCCAAACCAAGCAAGGGAGGGAGGAGAUUGAGAUCAAGAAAAUCACAAACAAGAGCAGCCAGCAAGUCACCUUCUCCAAACGCCUGUCCGGCGUCAUCAUCGUCUUCUCUCAGUACACAAGCUUCGGACACCCGAAUGUCGACUUCGUCAUCGACUGUUACAUCCGUGGAACACACACAAAUCCCGCUAGGCUGGAGGUGAGGAAGAAGGAGCCGUCACGGUCGACUAAACAAAUAGGUUGGCCAGUGAACCUCUCUGGAUGCAGAAGAAAAAAAGGAAUUUUUUUUUUUUGAAAAAGUAUAAAAAAAGUUGAAAAAUUAUUGAUUAGAUUUGUAUUGCUUGCAAUUAUUUUAGUACUAUAAUCUUUAAAAAAACAUAAAAAUAAGUUUUCCUAAAUUUGAUUAAAUAUGAAAAUAUUUUAUUAAUAUGGGUCGGAUUGGGUAUGGGUCGGGUAUGGGUUGAGUUGGGUAUAGGUCGAAAAAUUUACAUUAGGCAUAAAUAGAUUAAUGGGUCAAUUUGGUCGGACCAUUAAUGAUCCAACUCAAACCCGACCAACCUUAGCUCUAAUAGGCAUGUAGUGCAGAGAAGCAUUCUUGGAUAUGUUUCUUGAACUUAUGAAUCAUUUGGCUCUCUAUAAUUUGCUUCUAUAUAAUUCCUAGCAAGAUCAUUUUUA